ACAAAGGUUCUUUUCAGAGCCAUCAACAUUUUCAGUUCAUAGUUA
rfam:Canis lupus familiaris chromosome 35, whole genome shotgun sequence.